CGCCUGGGGAGUGCGGCCGCAAGGUUAAAACUCAAAUGAAUUGACGGGGGCCCGCACAAGCGGUGGAGCAUGUGGUUUAAUUCGAUGCAACGCGAAGAACCUUACCUACUCUUGACAUCCAGAGAACUUAGCAGAGAUGCUUUGGUGCCUUCGGGAACUCUGAGACAGGUGCUGCAUGGCUGUCGUCAGCUCGUGUUGUGAAAUGUUGGGUUAAGUCCCGCAACGAGCGCAACCCUUAUCCUUUGUUGCCAGCGAUUCGGUCGGGAACUCAAAGGAGACUGCCGGUGAUAAACCGGAGGAAGGUGGGGAUGACGUCAAGUCAUCAUGGCCCUUACGAGUAGGGCUACACACGUGCUACAAUGGCGCAUACAAAGAGAAGCGACCUCGCGAGAGCAAGCGGACCUCAUAAAGUGCGUCGUAGUCCGGAUCGGAGUCUGCAACUCGACUCCGUGAAGUCGGAAUCGCUAGUAAUCGUGGAUCAGAAUGCCACGGUGAAUACGUUCCCGGGCCUUGUACACACCGCCCGUCACACCAUGGGAGUGGGUUGCAAAAGAAGUAGGUAGCUUAACCUUCGGGAGGGCGCUUACCACUUUGUGAUUCAUGACUGGAGUGAAGUCGUAACAAGGUAACCGUA
rnacentral:rRNA from 1 species